rnacentral:lncRNA from 1 species
AUGUAUAGAUGGAUACGUCCUCAUUUCCAUAGUUCUUCUGUGACAUGAUAUUUAUGUUCUUGACUACAAUGCUAGUUGGCGGUCAACGUCUAUAUUUGAUAGGCUUUGGAAGUACCAACUUGUCAAAGAUAUGAAGAAUUGCCAGAAUUUUUGGAGGAGGUGCUAUUAAAUCCGGUUACAAAUUGUGAUUAGUUCAACUAUAUGUACCUAAACGUUCCCGCGAUUCUCUAUUUCCUUGAAAAGGGCGCUCAGCCUACAGGAACUGUUCAGGAUAUUUUAAAAAAGGCAGAGGUUUUUAAGGAACUUGGCCCUAAUCAAACGAAAUUCAAUUAAAUUAAGGAAAUUGCAAUAGAAAAGAAAAAGGGAGGUUGCGGUGAUUCGACUGCCUUUCUGAAGGUAAUCUGUGCUCUUUGUUUCAUCCUUCUUUUAAAGCUCCACUUGGUUUCGAUCAUGAUGUUUUUCGGAUGAAGUACCUUAUUUUGUUAAAAUCUGCUUCUGGAGUCACAAAUUUCAUGUUAACUAUCUUCAGUUCAGUGUAUGUGUUAUAUAAACAACUGUUUGCUCUUUAUGCAUCUGUUGUAUUUGUUGAUUAUUGACAUAGAUGUUAAAUGAUACAUAAUAUGACUUUAUUAUCUAUUUGUUAACUACUUUUAUGUAACCGUAUAGGCUAACUAUUUCAGUGUAAAUAUC